GUUAGGAAUAUUGGACAAUGGGCGCAAGCCUGAUCCAGCCAUGCCGCGUGAGUGAUGAAGGCCUUCGGGUUGUAAAGCUCUUUAGUCCACGAAUAUAAUGACUGUAGUGGAAGAAUAAGCCCCGGCUAACUUCGUGCCAGCAGCCGCGGUAAUACGAAGGGGGCGAGCGUUAUUCGGAAUCACUGGGCGUAAAGCGUGCGUAGGCUGUUUUGUAAGUCAGAAGUGAAAGCCCAGGGCUUAACCCUGGAAUUGCUUUUGAAACUACAAGACUCGAAUUCGGGAGAGGAUAGCGGAAUUGUCAGUGUAGCAGUGAAAUGCGUAGAUAUUGACAGGAACACCAGUGGCGCAAGCGGCUAUCUGGACCGAUAUUGACGCUGAGGCACGAAAGCGUGGGGAGCAAACAGGAUUAGAAACCCCAGUAGUCC
rnacentral:rRNA from 1 species